rnacentral:rRNA from 1 species
UGGGGAAUAUUGGACAAUGGGCGCAAGCCUGAUCCAGCCAUGCCGCGUGAGUGAUGAAGGCCCUAGGGUUGUAAAGCUCUUUCACCGGUGAAGAUAAUGACGGUAACCGGAGAAGAAGCCCCGGCUAACUUCGUGCCAGCAGCCGCGGUAAUACGAAGGGGGCUAGCGUUGUUCGGAUUUACUGGGCGUAAAGCGCACGUAGGCGGACUUUUAAGUCAGGGGUGAAAUCCCGGGGCUCAACCCCGGAACUGCCUUUGAUACUGGAAGUCUUGAGUAUGGUAGAGGUGAGUGGAAUUCCGAGUGUAGAGGUGAAAUUCGUAGAUAUUCGGAGGAACACCAGUGGCGAAGGCGGCUCACUGGGCCAUUACUGACGCUGAGGUGCGAAAGCGUGGGGAGCAAACAGG